CCCAAACAUUAAACAGAAGACAGCAUUAAAGGUUCUUCCUUGCAUUUUCUUCUGUUUUCUCUCUGUAUGUCUAUUUUUUAGGCCAACUCAACUUUUGAAGAACUGGAUCGAGUUAGGAAGCUGGUCAAAGCCUGGGGAGAAGUGGGACCCCAGAUCUGGUACUUCUUUGAGAAGAGCACACAGAUGACCAUGAUCAGAGAUACCCUGGGGCACCCAACAGUAAAAGACUUUAUUAAUAGGCAGCUUGGAGAAGAAGGUAUUACUACUGAAGCCAUAUUAAACUUCUUCCCUAACGGUCCCCGAGAGAACCAGGCUGAUGACAUGACCAACUUUGACUGGAGGGAUAUAUUUAACAUCACAGACCACUUCCUACACCUGGCUAAUCAAUACCUGGAGUGUCUGGUCCUGGAUAAGUUUGAAAGCUAUGGUGAUGAAGUUCAGCUCAUCCAACGAGCCCUGUCUCUCCUGGAAGAGAACAGGUUCUGGGCUGGAGUGGUGUUCCCUGACAUGUAUCCCUGGACCAGCUCCCUGCCUCCCCACGUGAAGUACAAGAUUCGGAUGGACAUAGAUGUGGUGGAGAAGACCAAUAAGAUCAAAGACAGGUGAUGGUUCAGUCAGGGUUAGCAGGGUAUCCCGAGAUCCACGGUGAAUUACAUGUGGCAGAGAGUGGA
rnacentral:lncRNA from 1 species